UGCCAGCCGCCGCGGUAAUAAGUAGGGUGCCAGCGUUGUUCGGAAUUACUGGGCGUAAAGCGCGCGUAGGCGGCUUUUUAAGUCAGAUGUGAAAGUCCACGGCUCAACCGUGGAAGUGCAUUUGAAACUGGGAGGCUUGAGUAUUGGAGGGGGUGGUGGAAUUCCCGGUGUAGAGGUGAAAUUCGUAGAUAUCGGGAGGAAUACCGGUGGCGAAGGCGACCACCUGGCCAGAUACUGACGCUGAGGUGCGAAAGUGUGUUGAGCAAACAGGAUUAGAUA
rnacentral:rRNA from 1 species